AAAAUCUAUGUAAUAUUUAUACAUUAUGCUGAGUUCUUAAAACCAGUUCUACAUAAUGAGCAGCAGUACUUUAUUAUAAAGUAUUGAUUUAGAGUUCCAUUUUCAAGUUCUAAUGUCUUCAUUAGAAAUACAGCAGCUUCUUUGCUUGUUUUUACCAGACCCAGCAUUCCGAUGUUCCUUUGCAUUACCUUCUCCACUACCAUGGACUCUUUGUUCCCACCCAGUCAUUCACGUUUGCAGACAUCGUGAAACAUAAGGUUUUAAAAAUAGCAGGUGAAAAAAAAAAAGCAGCUGAUUUUUCUCUCCUCAGGUGAGAACUACCAGCUGAAGAUUUCAUUCUGAUCACCUGGCUGAGCCCUGUGCCAACCUGGGGUGACCCCACCCACCCACCUGCCUGCCUGCACUGGGUGAGCUCACUGACAGGAAGCAUCAUUGAAGCCAACGUCUGCUUUUAAGAAGACCAGAAAGACCCAGGUGUGAAGAGAACCAACCAAGCUUUGAACCAGUGCUUCAGGUAUGAAGAGGCACUCGUGGCCCAGCCGAGGAGGAUUUCCAGGACAGCUGCGCCCGCUGCCCGAUACAGUGCCUUCCAGCCGCUCUGUGAGAACUGCAUGUGCCUGACUGGUCUGGGCUUGUGGUCAGCUCUCA
rnacentral:lncRNA from 1 species